UACCAGGAGUGGGGUUCGAACCCACGCAGACAUACGUCCAUUGGAUCUUAAGUCCAACGCCUUAACCACUCGGCCAUCCUGGU
rnacentral:tRNA from 1 species